rnacentral:tRNA from 1 species
AGGGGAUUAGCCAAGUUGGUAAGGCACAUGGUUUUGAUCCAUGUAUGCGGAGGUUCGAGUCCUCCAUCCCCUG